GGAAUUGGAAAGGGCUAGUUUUUUCAGAAUUAACAUCGGAAAUUUUCAGCAUCGAAAUCAUCGUAGUAGUUUUCUGAUGAAAUCGGCAUCGACUAGCCGGAGUAGCUGAGUUUGAAAAUUAUCCGAAUGGUCCUGGCGGCCGAGCCCAGUCCAUGCCUCCAUGGCAGUUCUACUCCCCAGCCGCGAAGUGCCCAACCGGCCGAUCCUAGCCGCCAUUAUGUCUUCGGCAUUCACGUCUCACAUCGCUUCGGCACGGUGGCACUUCCCGUCCUCGUCGCUUCAGCGCCGCCCGUCCUCAUCGCUCCGGCGCCGCCUGUCCUCGUCGUGCCGGCGCCGACCGUCCUCGCCCCGCAGGCACCGCCCCCCCCCCCCCCCCCGGUCCUCGUCGCUCCGGUGCCGCCUGGCCUCAUCACGUCGGCGCCACCCGUCCUCGUACCGAAGGCGCCGUCAAUCCUUGCCAGUCGUCACGUUGGCGCCGCCCGUCCUCGUCGCACCAGCGCCUCCCAUAGCCGCUGAUUUGUGAUGGAAUUAGGGAGCGGAGGUGCUGGAAGUUCAAAUGCAAGCAUGGUGGCAUCAUCUCUGGCUAUUCCUAUGAUGGCGCCCUUUGAUCUGGCCUGGGUUGAUCCUACUGCAACUAAAAGAAUAGAAGUUGAGUGCUGAAUUUGAGAACACUGCUGCAGAUCCUACCGCAAAGAGACACAAGAAGUGCAGCUCUAGAGUUUGGGAAGACUUCAUCACGUAUGAGGUUAAGAAGAAAGGUCCAAAUAGGGAUGAAAGCGGUAUAGGAAUAUCCCGUCCCGCAACUGUUUUCUGUUUUUCUGGAUCAUUUUCAUUUUCCCGAUUCUUACGCAGGAACGGGACAGAAACAGGAUGAUGACGUUCAAAAAUAUGGUCAAAAACGAUUGAGGCCUCAUCC